rnacentral:rRNA from 1 species
UACGGAGGGUGCAAGCGUUAUCCGGAUUCACUGGGUUUAAAGGGUGCGUAGGUGGGUUGGUAAGUCCGUGGUGAAAUCCCCAAGCUUAACUUGGGAACUGCCGUGGAUACUAUCAAUCUUGAAUAUCGUUGAGGUAAGCGGAAUAUGUCAUGUAGCGGUGAAAUGCUUAGAUAUGACAUAGAACACCGAUAGCGGAGGCAGCCUCCUGGGCCAACACUGACGCUCAUGCACGAAAGCGUGGGGAGCAAACAGG